rnacentral:rRNA from 1 species
GGCGAACGCUGGCGGCGUGCUUAACACAUGCAAGUCGAACAGAAAGGCCCUGCUUUUGUGGGGUGCUCGAGUGGCGAACGGGUGAGUAACACGUGAGUAACCUGCCCUUGACUUUGGGAUAACUUCAGGAAACUGGGGCUAAUACCGGAUAGGAGCUCCUGCUGCAUGGUGGGGGUUGGAAAGUUUCGGCGGUUGGGGAUGGACUCGCGGCUUAUCAGCUUGUUGGUGGGGUAGUGGCUUACCAAGGCUUUGACGGGUAGCCGGCCUGAGAGGGUGACCGGCCACAUUGGGACUUAGAUACGGCCCAGACUCCUACGGGAGGCAGCAGUGGGGAAUAUUGCACAAUGGGCGGAAGCCUGAUGCAGCAACGCCGCGUGCGGGAUGACGGCCUUCGGGUUGUAAACCGCUUUCGCCUGUGACGAAGCGUGAGUGACGGUAAUGGGUAAAGAAGCACCGGCUAACUACGUG